UACGUAGGGUGCGAGCGUUGUCCGGAAUUAUUGGGCGUAAAGGGCUCGUAGGCGGUUUGUCGCGUCGGGAGUGAAAACCUCGGGCUUAACUCGGGGCUUGCUUUCGAUACGGGCAGACUAGAGGUAUGCAGGGGAGAACGGAAUUCCUGGUGUAGCGGUGAAAUGCGCAGAUAUCAGGAGGAACACCGGUGGCGAAGGCGGUUCUCUGGGCCUGUUCUGACGCUGAGGAGCGAAAGCGUGGGGAGCAAACAGG
rnacentral:rRNA from 1 species